GGAAGGGUGCCAGAGUGGUUGAUUGGGACGGUCUCGAAAACCGUUAUGCGUGCAAGCGCAUCGAGGGUUCAAAUCCCUCUCCUUCCGCCA
rnacentral:tRNA from 1 species